rnacentral:rRNA from 1 species
CGAUGAACCGCUUUCGGGCGGGGAUUAGUGGCGAACGGGUGAGUAACACGUGGGCAAUCUGCCCUGCACUCUGGGACAAGCCCUGGAAACGGGGUCUAAUACCGGAUAUGACUGUCCAUCGCAUGGUGGAUGGUGUAAAGCUCCGGCGGUGCAGGAUGAGCCCGCGGCCUAUCAGCUUGUUGGUGAGGUAGUGGCUCACCAAGGCGACGACGGGUAGCCGGCCUGAGAGGGCGACCGGCCACACUGGGACUGAGACACGGCCCAGACUCCUACGGGAGGCAGCAGUGGGGAAUAUUGCACAAUGGGCGAAAGCCUGAUGCAGCGACGCCGCGUGAGGGAUGACGGCCUUCGGGUUGUAAACCUCUUUCAGCAGGGAAGAAGCGAAAGUGACGGUACCUGCAGAAGAAGCGCCGGCUAACUACGUGCCAGCAGCCGCGGUAAUACGUAGGGCGCAAGCGUUGUCCGGAAUUAUUGGGCGUAAAGAGCUCGUAGGCGGCUUGUCACGUCGGUUGUGAAAGCCCGGGGCUUAACCCCGGGUCUGCAGUCGAUACGGGCAGGCUAGAGUUCGGUAGGGGAGAUCGGAAUUCCUGGUGUAGCGGUGAAAUGCGCAGAUAUCAGGAGGAACACCGGUGGCGAAGGCGGAUCUCUGGGCCGAUACUGACGCUGAGGAGCGAAAGCGUGGGGAGCGAACAGGAUUAGAUACCCUGGUAGUCCACGCCGUAAACGGUGGGCACUAGGUGUGGGCAACAUUCCACGUUGUCCGUGCCGCAGCUAACGCAUUAAGUGCCCCGCCUGGGGAGUACGGCCGCAAGGCUAAACUCAAAGGAAUUGACGGGGGCCCGCACAAGCGGCGGA